CUUUGUUGUCUAAUUAACCCUAGCGUACUCUCUGGGGGAUAAAUUAUGUAUACUGCUUUUGAUAUCAUCACUGCAAUUUUGGGGAUUCUUCUCUGUGUCUGUGAUAACGUAAAAACGCUCUGUGAAUACAACAACAAUGUGAGAUACUACGUUUUUAGUCCAUUUCUAUAAAGAGGAUUCUGUUCAUCUGUUUGGUGGGGGAUUCUCUUAUUCCGGAGCUGUUAAGAACUCUUGGUUCUAAGAAACUCGUUUGGUGGUGUCAGAAUGCUAUUGUGGGUUUAUAUCUCUAUCUAUGAGAACAGUUGUAUGUUAUGGCGAGCUUGAAAACAAAUGGCUUGUUUUGUUUUUUGAGUGUGUUUGCAGGAAGAUUUGUGGAAGGCUGCAUUUCCAGUGGGAACUGAGUGGCAUAAUUUAGAUGCAGUUUAUGAUGGAUUCAAUUGGGAUUUCAAAACUCUUGAAGUAAGUUACGUUUUUUUGGAUCACAUUCUCCAUUUUUUUGUUCUCCAUUGUUGAGUUGACAGGGUUCUGGUAUUUCUGUGCGUCCGGAAGCAUUUGAAGAAGGAGGAAUUCUCUAUGGGAAGAAAGUCUUUGUUUUUGGCAAUGCUGAACCUAACUUCUGCAAAGAUGUAAAAAAGAUGGUCUAUGUCCCAACAAUUGUUGCUAUUGAAUCACCCAUUCCGCCUUCUGAUAAGGUAGGUGUAAAAUCGGUUCAGAGAGUAGAGGAGGAAAUCAUUCCAAUGAAGCAGAUGAAAAUGGACUGGAUUCCUUACAUUCCCUUUGCAAAAAGAGAUAGACAAGUUGAUAGGAUGAACUUUCAAAUAUUUUACUUGGGCUGUACACAGAGGAGAGCUGCUCUCAGACAUAUGAAGGAAGAUCGUGUUAAGAAGUUCGAGUAUUGCAUUGCUCAUUUCUAUAACCCGUUUGUGGAAGAUGCAUUUGAACAGAGUACUGAGGUCGACAUUUUGUUCCCCUCUGAUUCUAAACCGGAGCCAGUAGGUUUUUUUGGCAUGCAAUGAACAUUGUAUUGGAAGUGGCAGUGUUUGAUCCUUUUAAUCUUGGGUAUUCUCUUUUAUAAUCAAAGCUUUAAUUUUCUCUGUUUGUGCAGCUUGUAUUUGACUGGAAGUAUACCAAACUUCAGGAACUUGUUGAUGAUCUGAUUGAAGAGGAAAAAUUAGCUAAUUUUAUGUAUGUGGGUACAGCUAAUU